rnacentral:rRNA from 1 species
CUGGCGGCGUGCCUAACACAUGCAAGUCGAGCGGGGACAUGCGACGGAACGGAAGUUUCGGAUGGAAGUGAAGAUGUAUGUUCUAGCGGCGGACGGGUGAGUAACGCGUGAGCAACCUGCCUUCACAGGGGGAUAACACAGCGAAAGUUGUACUAAUACCGCAUAAGACCACACCGGGGCAUCCCGGAGGGGUCAAAGGAGCAAUCCGGUGAAGGGUGGGCUCGCGUCCGAUUAGAUAGUUGGUGGGGUAACGGCCUACCAAGUCGACGAUCGGUAGCCGACCUGAGAGGGUGAUCGGCCACAUUGGGACUGAGACACGGCCCAAACUCCUACGGGAGGCAGCAGUGGGGAAUAUUGGGCAAAUGGGGGAAACCCUGACCCAGCAACGCCGCGUGAGGGAAGAAGGUUUUCGGAUCGUAAACCUCUGUCCCAGGUGAAGAGGAAGAGACGGUAGCCUGGGAGGAAGCCCCGGCUAACUACGUGCCAGCCGCGGC